GUGGGGAAUAUUGGACAAUGGGGGGAACCCUGAUCCAGCCAUGCCGCGUGUGUGAAGAAGGCCUUUUGGUUGUAAAGCACUUUAAGCGAGGAGGAGGCUACCGAGAUUAAUACUCUUGGAUAGUGGACGUUACUCGCAGAAUAAGCACCGGCUAACUCUGUGCCAGCAGCCGCGGUAAUACAGAGGGUGCAAGCGUUAAUCGGAUUUACUGGGCGUAAAGCGCGCGUAAGUGGCCAAUUAAGUCAAAUGUGAAAUCCCCGAGCUUAACUUGGGAAUUGCAUUCGAUACUGGUUGGCUAGAGUAUGGGAGAGGAUGGUAGAAUUCCAGGUGUAGCGGUGAAAUGCGUAGAGAUCUGGAGGAAUACCGAUGGCGAAGGCAGCCAUCUGGCCUAAUACUGACACUGAGGUGCGAAAGCAUGGGGAGCAAACAGGAUUAGAUACCCGAGUAGUCC
rnacentral:rRNA from 1 species